rnacentral:rRNA from 1 species
ACGUAGGUCACAAGCGUUGUCCGGAAUUACUGGGUGUAAAGGGAGCGCAGGCGGGGAGAUAAGUUGGAAGUGAAAUCUAUGGGCUCAACCCAUAAACUGCUUUCAAAACUGUUUUUCUUGAGUAGUGCAGAGGUAGGCGGAAUUCCCGGUGUAGCGGUGGAAUGCGUAGAUAUCGGGAGGAACACCAGUGGCGAAGGCGGCCUACUGGGCACCAACUGACGCUGAGGCUCGAAAGUGUGGGUAGCAAACAG